rnacentral:sRNA from 1 species
UCAUCGUCAUAGAAUGCCGGUGGUUUGC